rnacentral:rRNA from 1 species
CCUACGGGCGGCAGCAGUGAGGAAUAUUGGUCAAUGGGCGAGAGCCUGAACCAGCCAAGUCGCGUGAGGGAGUACUGCCCUAUGGGUUGUAAACCUCUUUUGUCGGGGAGCAAAAGCCGGACGUGUCCGGCUGUGGGAGUACCCGAAGAAAAAGCAUCGGCAAACCUCGUGCCAGCAGCCGCGGUAAUACGGAGGAUUCGAGCGUUUUCCGGAUUUAUUGGGGUUAAGGGGUGCGCAGGCGGAUUUUUAAGUCAGCGGUAAAAUCGUGGGGCUCAACCCCAUCCAGCCGUUGAAACUGGGGAUCUAGAGUGUGCGAGAGGUAUGCGGAAUGCGUGGUGUAGCGGUGAAAUGCAUAGAUAUCACGCAGAACCCCGAUUGCGAAGGCAGCAUACCGGUGCACAACUGACGCUCAGGCACGAAAGCGUGGGUAUCGAACAGGAUUAGAUACCCUAGUAGUC